UACAGAGGUCUCAAGCGUUGUUCGGAUUCAUUGGGCGUAAAGGGUGCGUAGGUGGCAGGGUAAGUCGGAUGUGAAAUCCCGGGGGCUCAACCUCGGAACUGCAUUCGAUACUGCUUUGCUUGAGUACUGGAGAGGAGAUUGGAAUUUACGGUGUAGCAGUGAAAUGCGUAGAUAUCGUAAGGAAGACCAGUGGCGAAGGCGGGUUGCUGGGCUGACACUGACGCUGAUGUGCGAAAAGCUAGGGGAGCGAACGGGG
rnacentral:rRNA from 1 species